GGUCAAGUGAAUAAGAGCACGUGGUGGAUGCCUUGGCGAUGAUAGGCGACGAAGGACGUGAUAGCCUGCGAUAAGCUUCGGGGAGCUGGCAAAUUAGCUUUGAUCCGGAGAUUUCCGAAUGGGGAAACCCACCGAAAGGUAUCGCAUGAUGAAUACAUAGUCAUGCGAGGCGAACCGGGUGAACUGAAACAUCUCAGUAGCUCGAGGAAAAGACAUCAACCGAGAUUCCGAAAGUAGUGGCGAGCGAAAUCGGAAGAGCCUGCUAGUGAUAGCACAAGACUUAUCAGAACGGCUUGGAAAGGCCGGCCAUAGUGGGUGACAGCCCCGUACGUUAAAAGACUUGUGUGGUACUGAGCUAGCGAAAAGUAGGGCGGGACACGUGUAAUCCUGUCUGAAUAUGGGGGGACCAUCCUCCAAGGCUAAAUACUCAUCAUCGACCGAUAGUGAACUAGUACCGUGAGGGAAAGGCGAAAAGAACCCCGGGAGGGGAGUGAAAUAGAUCCUGAAACCGCGUGCUUACAAAAAGUAGGAGCCCGCAAGGGUGACUGCGUACCUUUUGUAUAAUGGGUCAGCGACUUACAUUCAGUGGCAAGGUUAACCGAAUAGGGAAGCCGUAGAGAAAUCGAGUCCGAAUAGGGCGAUCAGUCGCUGGGUGUAGACCCGAAACCAAGUGAUCUAUCCAUGGCCAGGAUGAAGGUGCCGUAACAGGUACUGGAGGUCCGAACC
ncrna:length=1140